rnacentral:rRNA from 1 species
GCUGGCGGCAUGCCUAACACAUGCAAGUCGAACGCUAUUUAUAGAGUGGCGCACGGGUGAGUAACGCGUGGGAACCUGCCUUUUUCUGCGGGAUAACGGUUGGAAACGACCGCUAAUACCGCAUACGCCCUACGGGGGAAAGGUCCGCCGGAGAAAGAGGGGCUCGCGUCUGAUUAGCUUGUUGGUAGGGUAAUGGCCUACCAAGGCGACGAUCAGUAGCUGGUCUGAGAGGAUGAUCAGCCACACUGGGACUGAGACACGGCCCAGACUCCUACGGGAGGCAGCAGUGGGGAAUAUUGGACAAUGGGGGCAACCCUGAUCCAGCAAUGCCGCGUGUGUGAUGAAGGCCUUAGGGUUGUAAAGCACUUUCACUGGUGAAGAUGAUGACGGUAACCAGAGAAGAAGCCCCGGCUAACUUCGUGCCAGCAGCCGCGGUAAUACGAAGGGGGCGAGCGUUGUUCGGAAUUACUGGGCGUAAAGGGCGCGUAGGCGGUCUUUUAAGUUAGGCGUGAAAGCCCCGGGCUCAACCCGGGAACUGCGCUUAAGACUGGAAGACUAGAAAACGGAAGA